AGCAGCCGCGGUAAUUCCAGCUCCAAUAGCGUAUAUUAAAGUUGUUGCAGUUAAAAAGCUCGUAGUUGAAUUUCGGGAUCAAUAUUUCGGUCAUGCCGUUGGUAUGCACUGUUAUCAUUGAUUUCUCACCUUCUAAAGAACCGUAAUGCCAUUAAUGUGGUGUUACGGGGAAUUAGGACUGUUACCUUGAAAAAUUAGAGUGUUUAAAGCAGGCUCACGCUUGAAUACAUUAGCAUGGAAUAAUGAAAUAGGACGUUUGAUUCUAUUUUGUUGGUUUCUAGGAUCGACGUAAUGAUUAAUAGGGAUAGUUGGGGGCAUUAGUAUUCAAUUGUCAGAGGUGAAAUUCUUGGAUUUAUUGAAGACUAACUACUGCGAAAGCAUUUGCCAAGGAUGUUUUCAUUAAUCAAGAACGAAAGUUAGGGGAUCGAAGACGAUCAGAUACCGUCGUAG
rnacentral:rRNA from 1 species